GCCAUUCUCAGCCAUGGUCUGCGGGUUUUGCUUGACUUCAGCGACCCAUGCAAUCCUAGACAGCUUGACUGGUGUUAUUCCAACACAUGAAAAGUCAUUCAUCAUCACAUAACAAGCUGUAUUUUUCAAGCCUCUUUUACUGAAUGACAAACCAUCUUGCAGCAUGACUGGAGCUCCUUAUGAUAAAAGGAUUAUGGAAAGGAGGAAGUUGGGAAGAUGUGAACAAGAUCGACAACGGCUUGCACACUUUGAAGAAUACCCAAAACGUCUUUGAAAAUAGAGUCCACAAGUGGAAUUCACAGCAGGCAAGUGAAUGGAUGGUCCUCUCUCCAGGCUCUCACAUUCCUCCAGGACAUCUGGGCAACUGGAGUCAAAGGCAAAGCAAAACUUUCUAGGAUUUCUACCAUCUGAUCCCAUAGGUUUAAUAUCAUUUAAAUUAGUGCUACCUACUUCUCUUCCCUAGAGUCACUAAUUUCUCAUGUAACCCCCAUCUGAUCAUAAGAAAAAUCAUUUGUGAAAUCCCGGUUGAAAGCAUUCUCCAAGAUACCCAACAGUAUUCCUCAAAACUAUCAAAAGUAAGGAAGGAGUCACAGUCAAGAGAAGCUUUGUGAAGACAUGAUGACUAAGUUCCAGGUGAGAUCCUGAAACAGAGAAAAUGACAUUUUGCAAAAACUAAAAAACUGAUUAAGAAUGGAUUUUAUGGUGAUGGGAAACCCGCGGGGAUUACAAUCGAGAUGGA